rnacentral:lncRNA from 1 species
UUCUGUCUAGAGGAUCUGUCCAUUGAUGUGUGUUGGGUGUUAAAGUCUCCUACUCUCAUUGUAAUCCAUGAGCUUCUCCUUUUAUGUCUGUUAGUAUUUGUUGUAUGUAUCUGGGUACUCCUAUAUUAGAGGCAUAUAUAUUGGUGAUUAUAAUGUCCUCUUCUUGAAUGACCUUUAACCAUUAAAUAGUGUCCUUUGUCGUUGUUUAUGGCCUCCAUUUGAAAGUCUAUUUCAUCUGAUAUGAGUAUUGCAACUCCUGCUUUCCUCUCUCUUCCAUUGGCAUGAAAUAUCUUUUCCCAUCCCUUCACUUUCAAUUUAUAAGGUGGGUCUCUGUAGACAGCCUAUUGUAGGCUUUUGCUUUUUUAUCCAGUCUGUCACUCUGUGUCUUUUGAUUGGAGCAUUCAUUCCUCUGACAUUUAAAGCAAUUAUUGAAAAAUAUUUAUUGCCAUUUUAAACCUUGUUUUCCAGUUGAUUCUAUGUUUCUUCUUUGUUCUUUUCUUUUUAAUGGUUGGAUGGUUUCCUUUUAUUUUAUACUUGUAUAUUUUCUUUUUAGUUUUUGUGAAUGUAAUGUUUGGCUUUGAUUUGUGGUUGCCCUGUUUUUCCAGUAGGUUAUCUCCUUCCUCUAUCUGCUUGCUUUAGCCUAAUAGUCGUAUAGGCUCAAACACAUUCUUAAAAAAAAAAAAAAGAGUCUAGAUUUUCUUACUCUCCUUCCCCACAGUCUAUGAUUUUGAAGUCCUUUUUUAACAUCCUUAUGUUUGUGCUUUUGCUGUUCCUUGUGUUUAUUGUCACUUUUACAUAGGUUUUUCUUUUUUCCAUUUUAGGUCUGUUUACUGGCUUAUUUAAGUGAUUGCUUUCCAAUUGUGAUUUCCUCUAUCCUAUUUCUUCUUCUUUUUUGAGUAGCCCAUUCAGUAUUUCUUUCAGAAUGGCUUUAGUAUUGCUGUACUCUUUUAGCUUUUUUUGUUGUUGUUGGAGAAAUUCUUUAUUUAUCCUAUCUUAAAUGAUAUUCUUGCUGGAUAGAGUAUUCUAGGCUGCAAAUUUUUUCCUUUUAGAACUUUGAAUAUAUCUUGCUGCUCUCUUCUGGCCUAUAGUGUUUCUGUAGAGAAAUCAGCUGAUAGCCUUAUGGGGGUUCACUUAUUAUUGAUGCUCUUUUUUUUUUUUUUUUCAUGCUGCCUUUAGAAUCCUCUUUAUCUUUAACUUUGCCUUUUUUAUUAUAAUAUGUCCUGGUGUGGGCCUGUUUAGGUUCAACUUGUUUGGGGCCCUCUGUGCUUCCUAUAUCUCGAUAGCUGUUUCCUCUGGAUUUGGAAAGUUUUCAGACUAAAUUUCUUCAAAUAUAUUUUCAAUCCCCUUUUCUUUUUCUUCUCCUUCUGGAAUCCCUAUUAUGUGUAGAUUGGCCUGCUUUCUAUUAUCCCGUAGGUCUCUUAUAUUGCUUUCAUGUUUUUUCAUUUGGUUUUCUGUCUGCUGUCCUGAUUGGGUGAUUUCCAUUAUUCUAUCUUCCAUGUCACUGAUUCCUUCCUCUGCAUUAUUCAUCCUGCUCUUUAGUGCCUUUGGCCCAGUUUGCGUCUCUGCAAAUGAAUUUUCUAAUUUUUCUAUGUUCCUCCUUAUAUUUUCUAGUUCCUUUCUAAAAGGAAUCUGCAUCACUGUUGAUAUCCACCCUUAAUUCCUUCAUAUUCUCCCUUAAUUCCUUCAGUAUUUUGCUGUCUCCCUUUUGGACUCAGUGUCUGUCACACUGCAGAGGUCUGUUUUCAUUGUUUGCUACUUCAGGUGAAUUGUCCUGUUCCUUUAACUGGGAGUGGUUUCUGAGCUGCUUCAUUUGGCUUAUAUUUUUCUUUUUCUGUGAGUUUAGGGAAACCAACUACUGUAGUCUCAGAGGGCUAUUUCUAUGCAAGAGCACCCCCUUUGUAUUUUGUGGGGGGUUACUGUUUAUUUUUGGCAUAGGAGUUUAUUUGCUGUUUCUUCAUUGUGAGCAGGCUGUUAUCCCCAGGGUGCUGAGUGUGUUUCCAGGGAGAAGGUGGCAAUGGGUAGGGCUAGUAGUCAGUGCCUGGUUGCUGGGCUCGAGACAGCAGUAAGCACCCAAGGACCUGCAGGAAGGAGGCACAGGCUACUCCUAGUUGCAGGGCCCUGGGAAGUGGUAGUGAGCCUAGGCAGAUUUACAGGGUGCCCAGAGCAAUUGGCAGUGGAAGCAGCAGGGUGUGUGAGUUCCCAGGGGAGUGACAGCAACAUGUGGUGUUUGGUUUGUGGUGCCCUCUGAGGUGACUGGGGCCACGACUGGUACCUUUUCACGGACCCCUGGUGGUGGUGGGAGGCCAUGCCCCUCUCUGGUGUCUGAGAUGACUGCUGUGGUUUGUCUCUGCACCUACAGAACACGCAAGAGGUGCUGUGUCACACGUAGCCCCUGCUGCCCUUAGCACACACAAUGGGUGCCCGGUCUCCUAUAGCCUAUGCAAGUAGUUUCUCCCCACUGUAACCUGCACCAGAGGUGCCCUGGCCUCUGAGCGCCUGCAGUGAGCAGGGAGAUUCCUGUGGCGGCCACCCCUCCUCCUCUCGCCCUCCCAGCAAUGCUGCCUUGCUUCUCCUGCAGGGCCCAGACCUCCUCCAGGUUCCCUCGGCUGUGGCUUUCUGCUCCCCAGCCCAUGGCGCACUGCUCCCUAGCCCCCCAGGCUGAAUCCACACAGCCAGCCGUAGUCCUCGGACCAGAACUGACCCCAGAGGAGCCUGAGUCUCAGCAUCCACCCCCUCCCCCACCCCCAGCAUCUCAGGCUGUGGUGUCCAGGGCGGGGGUGCAGAUGAUCUGUGCCCUCUCACUCGGCUCUGCCCUCCUCAGUCCAGCGGCCGCGUUUUCUCAGUGACUUUGAGGUCCCUCCAUCUCGGCCGACCUCCCCGUUGGUUAGGUGGCUUCCCAGGGUGGGUUCCUUUCCUCUUUCAGGGCUCCCUCUGGGGAACACAAGUCCCGUCCUGAUCCUUUCUCUCUCUUUUUUUUUUCUUUUGUUCAACCCAGUUAUGAGGAGGGUUUCUUGCCCUUUUUAGAGGUUUACGUCCCGCCAGCGCUCAGUAGAUGCUCCGUGCGGGUUGUUCUACAUGUAGACGUAUUUUUUUGAUGUCUUUGUGGAAGAAAGUGAGUGUGACCUCUUCCUCCACCGUCUUGAUUAGCUCCUCCGACACUGGCUAGAGUUCCCUGCGCUACACAGCAGGACCUUGUUGCUUAUGCAUCCUGUAGAUAAUAGUUUGCCUUUGCUAAUCCCAAAUUCCCAAUCCUCUCCCCUCGCCUCCUCCCCACCCCUUUGGCAACUCUAAGUCUGUUCUCUACUCAUGAGUGUUUUUGGUCUCAUAGAUAUGUCAUUGUGUCAUAUUUUAGUUUCCACAUAUGAGAGAUAUCACAUGGUAUCUUUCUCUUUCUGACUCCUCUUAGUAUGAUAAUCAAAGUCCACCCAUGUUGCCGCAAAAGACAGUAUUUCAUUCUCUUUCAAUGGCUGUGUAAUAUUCGAUUGUGUGUGUGUGUUGUGUGUGUCUAUACACCACGUCUUCUUAAUCCAUUUAUAUAUCAGUGGACCUUUAAGUUGCUUCUGCGUCUUGGCUGUUGUAAACAGUGCUGCUAGAAACAUAGGGUGCAUGUAUUUCAAAUUAUAGUUUUGUUCAGAUAUAUGCCCAGGAGCAGGAUUGCGGGAUGGAUCACAUGGCAACUAAAACCCAAUUUUAAGUACGAUUGGUGGAGGAUGACAGUCCUACUGUGGCCUUGCAGCCAGUCGGAGCUGCCAUGACGCGAACUCAACCAGGCAUUCAUGCUGAUCAGAUUUGGUAACACAAUUAUAGCAAAACCAUUGUGACCCUUAAGCAAAAUGGAAUCACAUUAAAUUGCUCAUUGUUAGUGAUCAAUAAGAAGUCAGUAACUUAUAGUUAUUGAUUGCAUAAAUACUCCCAGUGAGGAAGUGGGCAUCAAUCCAGUCAAGUUAUGAAUAAAGACAAAAGGGGGGAAAUUUGCCAGAAUUAAACUGACUGCUUUAUGACUUUUUCCCAGGCUCUCGGUCCUUGACCCUAGUCUUUUCUGGAAACAUGUUGGACGUUGAAUAAUAAGUAGAUGCACUAAAUAAUAAUAGUAGCAGUCCUGGUAGUAGCAUUUAACCGGAGGUAAGCUCUAUUCUAAACGCGUUGCUUGCAGAUUCACUUCUCUGUGGCAAGAGAUAGAAAUCCACCUCAAGCAAGCUGAACACACCCCCCAAAAUGGGAGGAAAGCUGUGGCUCACGUGGCAGGGAAGGGUCUGGGCAGCUCAGGGAAUCCAAGGGGUCUUGGGGCUGGAGCCAGGGUUCAGCACCGCCAGGCUCGCUCUCCAUUAGCCUCGUUCCUGCUUGUCUCUUCCAGCUGCUGCUGCUGCUUUAGCCAGGCCUUGCGUGGUGGGGCGGGCAGUCGCCUGGAAACCCCACGUGCAUCUGCCUUAAUCUGGGCUCCCCCAAGGCCGACUCCAAGAAAGGAGUUUGGGUGCACUGCUCUGUUUGGGAGCUGACCUCGAGGAGCAUGGUCGGGAGAGGGGAAGCGAGACAGGGGAGGGGAGGAUGCCCCCAAAUGGGUGUGUGGCUGGGCAGUCACCGCUGGAGCAGGUAGAGCCCAGUCCCACUGGAAUGACCCGGAAGGACGGUGCAGAGAACGCCUCAGGGUGUGCACCUGGAGCAAGGAAGCUGAGGGUUGAUCUGCCAGCUCCCCGCCCCAUUCUCUGCACUGGGGACGCUGGCUCUCGAGCAGGCCUGUCUGGCUCCCCGAGCCGCAGAAGGACCCAGGACCCCCAUAUCGUGGGCAGGAACUGUCAGCAGGUGACCUCAAGGGUGGACCAGUGGGACAUGCUGGUGCGCUUAUAUCAUGCACGCCAACUCCUUCCAGCGCCAUGGCCCCCAAAGCAGUGUGGAGCUGCUUCUCUUCCGGCUCCCAUUCCAGCAAGCCCCAUGAGGAACCCUAAGCUAGCAGGCCCAGUUACGUGCCCACUGUGGGCCAGUCAAGGGGCCAGAGGAGUGGAGGGCUGCUUCCUAGCAAGUGAAGUAGCUGCACCUGUUGGGAUGGGUCAGCUCCCCUUGGCCCUUUCUGCCACCCUCCCUGGUUGCCGAAACCUGUAUUCACUACAGAAGGCUGAGUCAUAAGGAGAAAGGCAUUGACAGACACAACCGCCUGUUCUCCAGUUUUCAUCAACUUGAUCUCCCUGCAGAAAGAAAACAGUCAUUAUCAAAAAGCCAAUUGUCAGUGUUCCCAUCAUGGUGCAAUGGAAACAAAUCCCACUAGGAACCAUGAAGUUGCAGGUUCGAUCCCUGGCCUUGCUCAGGGGUUAAGGAUCUGGUGUUGCCAUGAGCUGUGGUGUAGGUUGCAGACGCAACUCAGAUUUGGUGUUGCUGCAGCUGUGGCGUAGGCUGGCAGCUGUAGCUCUGAUUUGCCCCUUAGCCUGGGAACCUCCAUAUGCCAUG